rnacentral:sRNA from 1 species
GAACAACUCAAAAGAGAAUUGCAAGGCAAUCCAGCAGAUGGCCCAGCAAUUCCAGCAGCAGCGAACAACUCAAAAGAGAAUUGCAAGUACGCAUAAAGAAAGCACUAGCAGAACAUCUUGAAGCAUUUGCAGGAACAACUCAAAAGAGAAUUGCAAGGGUACAGCCUUGCGAAGUUUUCCUCGGUCGCCAGGGCCUUUUCGAGAACAACUCAAAAGAGAAUUGCAAGGCGAUGGGCAUCCCUGUGCAGAUUGGCGCCAAGCCAAUCAGCAUGAACAACUCAAAAGAGAAUUGCAAGCCCUUGGCUCCUCGGGAGGCGAGUGCUGCUUCCUGCACAGCUCGGAACAACUCAAAAGAGAAUUGCAAGAUGUAUUCAACGAGGCCAAACUCCUCAGCCUUCUUUACUUCUCUGAACAACUCAAAAGAGAAUUGCAAGCCUACCAUGGCGGCCUCCACCCCACCCCAAACAUUGUAGCUAUGAACAACUCAAAAGAGAAUUGCAGACCUCUCAAGCAUUGACACGCCAUGACCCGCAAGCGCCAUUGGAACAACUCAAAAGAGAAUUGCAAGUCCAUGAUGACACCCAGUUAUCGUUCACCAACACCACUAGGAACAACUCAAAAGAGAAUUGCAAGCGCUCACACGGUCGAGACCACGCUCUCCUCGAUCCACGACACAAGGAGGCGACUCGAACAACUCAAAAGAGAAUUGCAAGUCGUCGCUCACCUAUCUCUCCAUCACGAUACGCAAUCGCCACGUCUAUGAACAACUCAAAAGAGAAUUGCAAGGCAUAUGCAGUAUGGUAGGCCUUCCUUGUCCCAUUUCUCCAGCUCGAACAACUCAAAAGAGAAUUGCAAGUCCAAGAGCUCUACUUGCCGUCUCUUCAACUCUAGAUAUUCUGAACAACUCAAAAGAGAAUUGCAAGUCUCCGUGAGACGCUUCUCAAGCUCCUCAGGGUCAACGGUUUUCUGAACAACUCAAAAGAGAAUUGCAAGAACUCGCUGGCCAUCUCCAAUAGCUGCUUGAUCUUUUGGAGAACAACUCAAAAGAGAAUUGCAAGUCCCAACAGCGUAGCCGUACCUUCUCGCGUGGUCUAUGAAGUGAACAACUCAAAAGAGAAUUGCAAGUACAUCAUAUCCUACUUCUCUACUCUCACAGUACUCUUCACAUUUGAACAACUCAAAAGAGAAUUGCAAGUCUCCGCCUGCUCGGCGGCCUGCUCUAGCGCCGCUAUGGAACAACUCAAAAGAGAAUUGCAAGCUCAUUGCCAAGUCUUGCUUGCUGAACGUGAACUGCUUCGCGAACAACUCAAAAGAGAAUUGCAAGUCAAUGCUGCUGAUGUUGCCGAUGCUUGGCGUCGGCACAAGAACAACUCAAAAGAGAAUUGCAAGCCUUGUUUGCAGACUCGACGAACGUCGCGAACACAAUCGUGGAACAACUCAAAAGAGAAUUGCAAGGUGAGUACGCAGACACCAAGGCCGCCAAGGUUUCACCCCACGUGUGAACAACUCAAAAGAGAAUUGCAAGUUUCUGGAAUCAGGACUCUAAGUCUCCUUUCCCAAACAAAGAACAACUCAAAAGAGAAUUGCAAGUGGGAGCGCACGGGGGGUCUGCGCACACUUUACCAAUUCAAGAACAACUCAAAAGAGAAUUGCAAGACGAAGACGCUGUACGAGCUGCCGCCACCAGGCAACUACACACCAAGAACAACUCAAAAGAGAAUUGCAAGCGUCAUUGUACUCUUUUCGCUCAAUUAUUAUUAUGUCGUCGGGAACAACUCAAAAGAGAAUUGCAAGGUGUUAGUAGUUCUCUCAUGGUUUUCAGUGUGUUUACAGCGAACAACUCAAAAGAGAAUUGCAAGAUCCGAACUGUGCCAGUUCACAUUCCAUCAUUUUUAUAGAGGAACAACUCAAAAGAGAAUUGCAAGUCUGCUGGAUUGCGGGGACAUGCGGCGCGAGCUCCCUCAGCAUCUUGAACAACUCAAAAGAGAAUUGCAAGUCCGUUCGUCCUCAGAGCGAACAGCUUCCUUGCGUACGCGAACAACUCAAAAGAGAAUUGCAAGUGGACUGACUUCGAUUACAAGCAGCACUACGACAAUCUCGAGAACAACUCAAAAGAGAAUUGCAAGGUUCUAGCUGCUGACCCCGACAGCCUCGUCGCUGAGCUUAACCGUGAACAACUCAAAAGAGAAUUGCAAGCUGUAUGUUUGCCGCAACAUAUCGCUAUCACCUUGGGCGAACAACUCAAAAGAGAAUUGCAAGAGGCAUCAUCGGCGCGUCAAGGAUCACUCCAGCACAGCUCUCCGAGAACAACUCAAAAGAGAAUUGCAAGACACCUCCACGCGGUCCGGUGCAGCCUCCACUUCCCUUUACAAUGAACAACUCAAAAGAGAAUUGCAAGGGCCGCGUAGACCAUGUAGCCUACUGCUAGCGCUACGGCUGGGUACGAACAACUCAAAAGAGAAUUGCAAGGUUUUUACUCUGCCAGGUGUUAACCUCGAAUUCAACUCUCAUCUUGAACAACUCAAAAGAGAAUUGCAAGUUAUCGCAGCUUGUUUCCUCUUCUUCCGUUUCCUCCUCCGCUUGAACAACUCAAAAGAGAAUUGCAAGGCGGUCGCAACCCCAUGCGCGUCGUAGUGGGCUAUAAUGAGGUCCUGGACAGCGAACAACUCAAAAGAGAAUUGCAAGUUUAAAUCCGGUUUUCUUUCAAUUCCACUUCUGGGUUAAAAAAGAACAACUCAAAAGAGAAUUGCAAGUAUACUUGUUAUAUCUCACCCUGAUGUCUAGCAUUCUUCCACCUCGGAACAACUCAAAAGAGAAUUGCAAGCUGGGGACCUGUGUCUGGAAACCUCGCUAUUAUCGCCCCGCCAAGAACAACUCAAAAGAGAAUUGCAAGACACCAUUUGCAACAAUGAGGAUGGUGGUUACUAGCGAUAGGGAUGAACAACUCAAAAGAGAAUUGCAAGUUGAUUAUUGCCAUGACUGUGAAGGCUAGCUGGCCAACGGCAUGGAACAACUCAAAAGAGAAUUGCAAGCGCAGGCUCAGGCGUGGCACGGCAUAGAAAACACUUAUACUAGGAACAACUCAAAAGAGAAUUGCAAGUAGAACAAUAUAUACGGCUCCGUGCCGUCCUUUGGCACCCUCAGCUGAACAACUCAAAAGAGAAUUGCAAG